CGAUGCGCUGGGUGGCGGGGUCGGGGCCGAGUUCUCCGGCCCGGACGCGGUCCACGAGGUCGGCCGGCGUCCGAUACGUCGCCAUGUCGAC
rnacentral:tRNA from 1 species